AAAAACUCAUCACUUAGGGGGUUCUUCAAUUUUCUAGAACAAGAAUUCAAUUCUCUUGCUCCCUCUGAAAUUAUCUCUUCUUCCAUCGAUCAUUUUUCAUUUUCUUUAUCUUUAUCUUCAUCUUCCAAAACUCACAGAAAAACGCAAGGACUCACUUUUCAAUUCUCUCUUCAAUUCUAUCUUCCUUCAAUCUUCACUAGAAAAAUCACGAGAAAAGAAACUCCAGAAACCCUCCCUCAUCUUCAACGCAUAACUUUUCUGUCUCUUCAAUCAUCAUUAUCAAGUUGCAGAAGCUUGUUUUCAAUUUUCAUUUGGUUCUUCUCUGCAUACCAUCAUCAUCUGCUUCAUCAAUAUCGCAACAAUCUCUGCAGCACUCGCAUCACCAUCUUUGCUGAGAGAGUUAUUGGUAACAGAGCAACGUCCUUCUUCAUCAUCAACAAAUCUGCAAGAUUCAUUAUCACAAUCAUCUUCAUCAUGCUUCAAGGUUCUUCAAGCUUGCUUCAAUCUACUGCAAUCACAACAACAUUUCUCUAUAUCUUUAAUCAGCAUCUUCGCACAAUAAUCUGCAACAAACACCUCUCUGUAACAACAUCACAAUGA